GGUUUCUGUAGUGUAGUGGUCAUAACCUUUGCCUAAUGCACAAAAGGUCCUUGGCUCAAAACUGAGCAACUG